UACGUAGGGUGCGAGCGUUGUCCGGAAUUAUUGGGCGUAAAGAGCUCGUAGGCGGUUUGUUGCGUCGGCUGUGAAAUCCCGAGGCUCAACCUCGGGUCUGCAGUCGAUACGAGCAAACUAGAGUGUUGCAGGGGAGACUGGAAUUCCUGGUGUAGCGGUGAAAUGCGCAGAUAUCAGGAGGAACACCGAUGGCGAAGGCAGCUCGCUGGGACGGUACUGACGCUGAGGCGCGAAAGCGUGGGGAGCAAACAGG
rnacentral:rRNA from 1 species